rnacentral:lncRNA from 1 species
AUGAGGAACCCCAAGCCGUAUGUUUGGGAAAUAUUUGUCUAUUAGAUGGAUCUUGGACUCUUUCAGCUAACUUCAGUGGAUGUGGAUGGACAUGGAAAGAUAGCUCUGGGAAUAUUCAGCUUAUGGGGAUAAAAAACUUCCCUCGACGGGAAUCGGCCUUGCAUUCGGAGGUAGAAGCACUGCGGUGGGCGAUGGAGAAUAUGCUGCAGCACUCGACCUGCCAGAGCUUUGGGACAGACUGUAAGGAACUGAUUGCUAUGGUUAAGGAUCCCCAGGCGUGGCCAAGCUUUGCGACGGAAUUGGAGAGAAUAGAGACGCUACAAAUCUGCUUCUCGGACUUCAACAUCACUUACGUUCCACGGGCGUAUAAUCAG